GGGACCUCAGUAUCGUGCCCCCUUGCGCAAAUGGUUUGAGAGAUCACGAAUGGAUGAUGCAGCGCUCUUUCGCGUGUCAUGUUUUUGAAGAGCCCACGCGUUUGACUGUAGGUUCGCACGCACCAAUGCAGACACGGACCGGAUCGGACGCUGCUGGCGCCUGAACGUGUAUCCAUCUUCAUUGCGCUCACGGUGUCUGCUUUCUCCAGCUCGCCGGCAUCAUGCAGUCUUUAAUAUCCCCAGUCACCAAAGCAAUACUGGUUGCACUGUUUAUUUUUGCGAUCCUGCUCAUUUUGUACGUGAUAUUAUGGUAUAUAUGUAGAGAUGUGGAUUGUGAUCACGGAAUUUGAUUGGCAUUGUUGGAUGCGUCUCUAAGGACAUGCACCGGGUGUCCCAGCUUUGGGACUGACCAACAAGGGAGCAAAGGGUGACUGGAGUACCCUUAACAGAGGUGUCAGCUGCAAGCUGCCUGACCUCUUAAGUGGCUGAGGUGUAUUAGGAUUUUGUCAGCACUACAUCCCUUUGGGUCACCACUCAGGAUGUUAAGUGAGGAUUCAUUGGUGGAUUUUGCCUUAGGAAAAGUUUAGGAUGGAAGUGUGUUGUCAUAUCAGCAGAAACAACCUGCAACAUUAAUCACCAUCAAGAUGCUCCAUCGCCGGCAAAUCUGACACUUGUUGAUUACAGCCUUGAACCAUCUAUCUGCUUAUUUCUCCAUAACAAACAUUUAGGUUUUAUAUAUGUACAUGUGUUUGACAUGUGCUUGUCAGACAAGUAAAUCAAUCAUUCACUUUUCAGAGUAAAAAAAAAUAUAUAUAUAUAUUGAGAUUAUUGACUAAAUUGAACUACUGGUACAUAAAAUAAAUGUCACAUUUUCAAUUAUGCUGAUAGUCGGGGAAACAUCACUCUUGGUCGUGUGAUGUUGCUUAGGGUAUUUAUAUAAUAUAUUAUAUAGAUGCUUAUUAUAUAGAUGUCCUGUCGGGCAAUUAAAUUUAAAAUUGAAAUUUCAUCAGAUCAUUCACCCUGCCAGUUUAGAGUGUUGGUGGUUUGUUUUAUUGUCAAACAGUUAUUCAGUCGUUAGGAGCUGUCCAGUGCAGAUUGGGAAUGUUGAGAAGUGAGCUUAAAGGGACAGUUAACUUUCUCGAUAAAGACAGGAGUCAAAUAUUCCUUUAACAUUCAGCAGUUUGUAUAUUAUGGCUGCUAACUAGGCUGCAAUUAUGCAUUAACCUAAAAGAAAAAAACAUUUUAAAUGUGUUUGUCAUUUGUUAUCUUUAGAAACAUAACAGACUGUAACCUUUGACAUAUUUACUCCAAUACUAAGUUCUUAUUAUGAAGACAUAUUUCAUGUUGUUGAUGUUCAUUUAAAUAGUUAGAAAUGUAAUUAUGUUUGUUUUUUUUUUUUUUAAACUGAUUGUUUUAAAUAUUGGCCUCUGGUUGAAAUGCUGGCUUUAAAUUAUAGUGUACGUACAGGGAAUAUUUAAUUUAUAGCAGAAUCUGGCUAAUUGUUGCCAGUGAGUGAUGACUUUUCAGAAUUGUCACAAACUAAUCACGUUUCUAUUUAAGAUUGCUCUGUUGGAAUUUUAGAUGGCUCUGUAUUUAAAUUAAAAUCACUGUUAAAGGGCAACCAUGUCCCAGCACAAAGCAAAAGGAUUAGCCUCAAAUCCAUCUGCACAAAUGGACUUUUGUGUCAGAAAUAUUGAAAUCUUCUGAAAAAUAAAAAUAAAAAAUCUGAUUUUAA